rnacentral:rRNA from 1 species
UCCGUAGGCAGCAAGCGUUGUUCGGAGUUACUGGGCGUAAAGGGUGCGUAGGCGGCCCUGUAAGUAUGGUGUGAAAUCUCCCGGCUUAACUGGGAGGGUGCGCUAUAGACUGCGGGGCUCGAGUGUGGGAGAGGAAAGUGGAAUUCCUGGUGUAGCGGUGAAAUGCGUAGAUAUCAGGAGGAACACCGGUGGUGUAAACGGCUUUCUGGACCAUAACUGACGCUGAGGCACGAAGGCGUGGGUAGCAAACAGG